AACGUCAAGCCCAUUGACUUAAGUUGUAUGACAACUUAAUGAAUAAUGAUUCACAAAGGCCUAAAAGGCCCAAUGAAACCCCAAGGCCGGCCAUGAUGCUUUUGGAGUGGGUUUUGGACUUAUUUACAAGUUUGCCACUCCAAUGAAUAAGGUAUAAAUAUGACUUUAUAGCCAAAAUUCAUUAAGGGUUUCUUUUGGAGAAAAUUGGUGAGAACUUGUCUCUCCUUUUCUCUCUAAAGAGGCCGGCCCUUGGAGGGGGUAUCUAGCCAUACUACUACUCCAAGGUCACUCAUUUCUUCUCCAAUCUAACCUUGGUGAAGAUACUUAGAGGUUCUCAAUUUUGGGAACUUGGAGAAACCUAUUCUUCCAUCCAAAUCCAUAGAUUUAAGAUGCAAGGAAUGAAGGCCCUCUCUUUGGGUGAUUAGCCUUUGCUUAUGCAAAGAGGAAUCUACAAAGGUAUGAUUUCAACUCACUUUGUUUUGAGUUGAGUUUUGGUUCACCAAUCUACUAGGCUUUGAAUUUCAUGGGUAAUGUUUUGUUUUUGAAUGCAUGCUAGCAUGAUUCCGCCUUUAAUUGUUAAUUGCAUGCUAUAUGAUGUUGCUCAAAUGAACAUGUUUUCACAAAAUAAUCCUUCAAGUGGUAUCAGAGCCUAGGUCUAGUAGUUGGUGAAUCCUUUUGGGUUUUGUGGUUCAUAGUUUGUGAUUUAAAAGUUGUAAUAUGUUACAAGCUUUAUUCUUGUUUCUUUGAAUGUAAAUUUUGUUAGAAAAUUUGCCAUCUCAAAUGUUGUAGAUGUAGUUCAUAUGAGCAUGAAUAUUGGAGCUAAAAUUUGGUGCCAUGAUUUUGAGAAAAUUCGGCCAAAUACAUAGGGUGAUUUUUUGGGUUCUUGUUUGACUUGUUAAAAGUGUUUUAAAGUGACUUUUGGAACCCCUAUGUACCCUAGUUUGGUUAUAUGUUAUUUUCCUAAAGUUUGAAUGGUUUUGAGAUGUUUUUGGGUGAAAAAUGUUCAUGGAAAUUUUUUAGUUUUUCAUGAAUGUUCUUCAUUGUUCUUGACAUUUUUGCCAAGAACAAAAAGUUUUGUGUUUUGAUUCAAAGUUUUGAUUUAUUUCAUAAAGUUUAUGUUUUAUGAUUUUCAAAUGUUUAAAUGUUUUAGAUAUUUGUUUAAAUGGUGUAAGAGAUAUUGGUGGGUGUGUAAGGAUUAAUUUCCUUUCACACACCACUUGCACCACUUGAUUGCUUUAUGUCAAAACUCACAAAUCAACACACACAUCACCCCUUUUCUCUUCCAAAAUCGGCCCUCCCUCAAGUGGGAGUACUUUUGGGGCUUUUAUGCAAUUACAUAAAGUUUUGAUACUUUUGUGUAUUUGCACUUUGGCCCAAAAGUUUACGUUUUUACGUUUAGGACCAAAAACGCUAAAGGACAAAUUGUUUUGCUCCUUUAAUGAAGUUUUUGCAUUAUUAAAAUUUUGGGUUCUAGUUGUAAUUACAUGAAGUAGUGGACUUUUGUGUUUUUACAAAGUGACCCCAAAAGUUUUGCAAUAUAGCCCAAAAGUUGAGGUUAAUUGCUUUAUAGCCCAAAAGGUUAUGGUUAUUGCAUGAUGGCCCAAAUUAGGUUGAGAACAAAAUUGUUUUGUCUCUUUAAAUGAGAAUUGGAUUUUCAUUUCAUUAGCUCCAUUUAAAUCAAUUUUAUGGAUACAAAAACCAAAUGAAAAUGUUGCAUUCAAUUUAAUUAGUUAAAGCGUUAAUUAAUUAAAGGAUGAUUAUGAACCUAAGCCUAAUAUAAUUGAGCUAUGUGAAAGGCCGUUUCAAAUUUGUUUGAACCUUGGGAAUGUGUAGAUUAGAUUUUGGUUGUAAUUUGAUUUGAUCAAAUGUUGUAAAAGGGCAUAAGGCCUUCUUUACUUUAAGGUAAUUUGUUUUAUGCAAAUGUUGUAAUGAGCAUAAGCUCACCUUUACUUUGAAGUACUUCUUUCUUGCUUUAUUUGAUAUGCAUGAAAAUGAAGUAGAGGGUCCAACGCCCCUAGGAACAACACGCCUUAAUGUGAUUAAACGCGUAACUAAAAUCAAUCACCAUCCCUAGACCGAGAUUCAACACAAGGCUCGUGUUGAAUCUAAACAAAGGUUCAUAGUCAUCCUAAGGCCCUAAGGCAACUAUAUAGUCCAUCAAAUGAAUGCAAAGGUUAUGUUAGUAGUAUCAUAUACUCUUGAUUAAAAAACGUUUUAUAAGCAUAGUGGGAGUAUUAUAUACAACUAAAACAAUCAUAUGGACCAAUAGUUGUAAUAGGACCAAAAUUGUUUUAAUAGAGAUUAAAAUGUAAGUUUAUAUGUGAUGAGACCUAAAACCCUCAACCAAACCAUUAUUAAGUUGAUAAGCGUGAGAGUGCUUUGAACACUCUUUCGUGGCCUUCCACCGUGGUAGGCUCCAAUCGUUUAUGACUUGUACACCGCCUUCACCCUAUCAUGGGGGAGUGCAAAGUGCAUGCUUAUACUCAGGAGGAGUCUAUAUACAUACUUGAUGAGCUGAGUGUAGGCAACGAGGAUGGCCGACAUCGUAUCAUCGUGAGGCUAUUCUUGAACCCCUUCACAAACUAAGCAUGGUGGGAAUGACUUAACUAAGUGCAAUGGAGCCAACAUCAUAUCAUUGUGAGGUGACAUUCUCUAGAGGCCAAAUAAGAUGGGUACUUGCAAGUGAUGCAAAUGAGUAAGCGUACUCUCUCAUUAUUAUUAAUGCUAGCCAACAUCAUAUCAUUGUGAGGUGGGCUUGGUAGUAGUGAGUCUCCCAUACCCUACUAAGAGUUUCAUCCAAAACUCUUGAAUUCCAAUGAGGGAUAGGGAAUUUGCCAAAAAUAGUGGGUGGUGCUAUUUGAUUUAAAGACCCGGAUCAAAUGGCUUAAAAUCAAUCAAUUUAUAUUCGUUAUGUAUUUGUUUACCAAUAUAUUUGCAAACGCUAUCCAACACUUGACAAAUAAAAGCCGAAAGCUUUAGUUUCCGUACUUGGUACUACAAAACCAUAGAUUGUCUUUAAUGGCUUGUAAAUGUACCUAAGUAGUCUCAUCCUCACAAUCUUCCUAUUGAUAAUGUAUCAUUAGAAGAAUAUGUUAGAAAAGGUCUAUCAUAAAGAGGACAACACUUUUAAAGUCAUAAUUCUUCAAUUACAAUUUGUUGUAUGAAGAAAUAGGAGUUGCUUUGAACAACUCUUAGUCAAUGCAAACACUUAGUGCUUGUUUGUUACAUGAACAAGGAACUUGAGAAGAAAGCACAAAGGCAUGGACACUUAAUGUGCCAUGAUUCUUCACUUACAAUUUGUUGUAUGAAGAAAUAAGAGUUGCCUUGUACAACUCUUGAAAGUUUGUAAUUAUGUUUAGAACAUAAUGGUUGGUUGACAAAAAUAGUCCAUUAACAUGGACUUAUGAUGAUUUUGAAUCAUUGAGUGUUGAAGUGAUAAACCACUUAACGAGACGGAAACUAGGCAAGGACUUCACCUAUGUGUCCCUAUCCUAAUGUUUCACUAAGUUUAUUAUAAACUAUGUAGUAAACAAUAACCACAUGCUCUCCAAAAUGUUUGAUGUGUAUAACACAAUUGAAAUAAGUUUCAAGAGAGAUAGUGGGAGUUUAGGGACCAUGACUAUUGUAGUCAAAGGAGAAGUCAAAUGAAGAAGAUAAAAUUAACUCCAAGGGAACAAACUUUCUUUAUGAAAGGAUGGACAUUGGAAGGGGUAUUUGCAAGAAAUGUCUUGCAAGUGUCAAGAACACACCUUUCGAAGGUGUUGUAAAUUGUUCUUGAAUAGUUCAAAACAGUUGGUUCUUCUACUUGAAUGCUUGAUUCCGUAUUAGUAACUAUGUUUUACAAUCGUUGUAAAAGUGUGACUAAUAAGAAGUAGAAGAUAUAUGAGAGAAGAAAAGGUGCUUCACAUUCAGAACGUGAAUAAAAUAUAGAUCUCUGCAAAAGCAGAUAGUACUUACUUCCUCAUAUGAACUACCAAAGAAAUUGGAAAAACAAAGAUUGUCUUUACAUUCCAAUUUUAAGGAAUUUAAUUCCGUCACUAGAGUAGAGAUGGAUGAAUGUUUUGUUUGACAAAACAUUGUUCUUUAUUAAUCAAUGAUUGGAUUAUAGUAAUCUAAUUGAUUGUCUCUAUAGUAGAGAUAAUAUGGUAGUGUUAACUGUUUAGAAUAUAAUGAUGCUUAAAACCCAAAAGGUUGCAAGGUAGUGACUAAUCUCCAACUAAAUUGUGAUACCUCUAAAACAUAAAUUUACGAGUUGGUCAUAGAUGGGUGCUUUGGAUCGUUAGAUCCGGAUCCAAUACCUUCUUGUUAAAAUUGUAUAGAGGCGAAAUGUUCGAAUCUUUAUUCUUUUGGAAAGAAAGAAAGAAUCACAAAGUUGUUGAGGUUAAUUCACUUAGAUGUUAGUGGCACUUGUCCACAAACAUAAUACUACUCAUGUUGUAUGACAUUCACCGAAGAUCACUCUCGGUUGGACUAUAGUUUAUUUUGAAUAAACACAAGUCCGAAUACUUUGCAAAAGUUUUCAAAGAAUUCAAGAAAUGUAAGUUGAUGAGUAAGACGUCUAAAGUAUUUGCCUCCUUAGAUUUGAUCCAAGGAAAGGUAACACUUUAGAACAAUUUCCUUGAAAGAUAUCAAGGAAAGAAGCAUCAUAUGAUAAUGGAUUUCUCCAUAAGGAGAAGAACGAACUUAAAUAAGAUUUAGUUCGUUGGAUGUUAUCUAUUACCCAUAUAUAGGAUAUAUACUUCUAAAAACAAUAUGAUUGUCAAUUAGAAGAUCUUCCAAAAUUCUUCAUGACUCUAUAGGAUGUAGUUGGAAAGAAAGACAAAUCUCAAGCAUGUUAAGAUUUGGGGUUGUGUGCUAAUAAGCAAUAUUUGUUUGAUAACAAUCUUGUGGGAUAUCCUUAAAUUAACUUUUUGAUAUCGCUUCUAUAAACCAACUAACAAAUGUUGUUUUGUUGGGUAGUUCAUUGUAAUCCUACAAUGUGAUUUGCCUAAAAGCAAAUGAACAAGAGAUAGAACUCAAAGAAUGGGUUCUUUGAGAGACAAGAAAGUAAUCAACAAAAUAUAAACAACCUAGUUCCUAUACCAAAAGCUCCAAGGUAGUCGAGAAGGAUUUAUAAACCGUCUCAGUUGAAUGGUUUGAACUUUAUGACUAUGUCAUAGAGUUGCACCUCUUAAUUCGAAAGAAAUAAGAAUGAAAAUCCUUAUGACUACAUUGAGUGUAUAUACGAUAUAUACUCAAGGAAAUGGUAAAGUACCAUUUGACCCGAAAUAAUGAAACCUUCAUAAGCUAAUUGGUAGCUUAAAGUAACGACAAUCAAAGAGAAUGGUUGACUUUGAAGAAACCAUUUUUGACGUAGUCUUGGUUUCAAUUAAUUCGAAGAUAGCUAGCACUAAAUGGUGAUUCAAUGUUUGGACAUAAUAUGGGUUUCCGAAACCAUUAUUAAGAUAGUCUUGAUAAUAUAUGUCUAAAACUAUAAAUCACAAGACAUGUAAGUUGUAGAGAUCCAUCCAUCAUGAAUCUAAGCAAGCUAGUGGGAGCUAUGAGCAUCUUAUGAGAAAAGGAUCAAAUCGUUUGAUUUCUCGUAAAGAUGUAAAUGAAUCUUUUGUUUACUAGGUUUACAAAAGAUUAGUGGGAGUUAAUCAUGUUCCUAAGAUUUAAAUAUAUAUGAUAUAUUAAUUUUGGAAAUGAAAAGAAUACUUCUUCAUUAAAGUUACAACUUUAAAACAUUAUAUGAAGAUAGAAUGUAUAAGGGAGUUAAUCAUGUUCCUAAAAUUUAAAUAUAUAUGAUAUAUUAAUUUUGGAAAUGAAAAGAAUACUUCUUCUUUAAAGUUAUGACUUUAAAACAUUAUAUGAAGAUAGAAUGUAUAUGGGAGAUAUAGUCUAUAUACAUGGGAUGGAAAUCUAUAAUGAUAUAUUUCUUGAUAUAAUUGGAUUAUAUCAAUCCCUAAUAAUAGACAAUAGAUGCUAGGAAGUUUCUCAUAUGAUGAUAAACUUCAAUUAGAAGGACAACUCUAGUGAGACUAAGAAGUUGCUCUUCUCAAAGAGAACGUACUCUUUGACUCCCAAAGAAAUAAUGCGUAAAUAGAAUCCUUUAUGCAUAUGCAUAAAGGGGAUUUAUGUAUUUCAACACGUUCACGUUGUUUUGAAGGUUGACAAGAGCUGCUUUGCCCCCUUUCCGAUUGGCGAACUUGUGGAGGAGACGUAUGCUUCUUGUGCAAUUUCUUAGGAGUGACUUAAGUCCAUCCUUCUACUUUGCUUGUCUUGGAGGAUGCCCCCAGCGGUUGAGGUGAAAACUUUGAGUCAGAAGAGCCAGAAGUGAAGGUGGUAUAGUUUGACUUCACCACAUCGUCAAGGUCUAGCUCGAUGAUUCCUUUCUGAGCCAGCUUCAUGAUGAGAUCUUUCAGCACGAAACAUUUUUCUGUCGGAUGACUGAUGAAGCGGUGGAAUUUACAGUACCUUGGACUGUCAGUGCGAUUCAUCUCUUCUGGCCGUUUACACUCAGGCAAACUAAUCACCUUCUUUUCCAGCAAGUCUUCUAACAUGGCAACCACAUCAGAGUCGGGGAAUGGAUAAGUCCUCUCCUCAAGCUCCUUCAAAGUGCGUCUACGCAUCUCUUGAUCACGAAAAGCUUCGGUUUGAAUCGCCUUGCCUCGUGUAGGGACUUUGACGGGAGCUAUGUUGACCGUCAUUGCUUCCUUGGUGGGUUUCCACGCAAUCUUCUCCAACUUUGGCCCAAGAACUUUGUCGUUCUUGUAGUCGGCGAUCGGUUCUUUCUUCCCAUGAUGGGCGAUGCUCAACUCCAUGUCAUGGGCGCGAGUGGCCAAUUCCUCGAAAGUCCGUGGUUUAAUGCCUUAAAGGAUGUAUUGCAAACCCCAUUGCAUGCCUUGGAUGCACAUCUCGAUUGAAGAGGUUUCUGAGAGCCUGUCUUUACAAUCGAGGCUUAGAGUGCGCCAUCUGUUGAUGUAGUCAAUGACUGGCUCGUCCUUCCACUGCUUUGUGCUCGUUAGCUCUAGCAUGCUCACAGUGCGACGGGUGUUGUAGAAGCGGUUGAGGAAUUCCCGCUCUAAUUGCUCCCAUCUGUUGAUGGACUCAGGCUCUAGGUCUGUGUACCACUCAAAGGCGUUUCCUUUCAACGAGCGCACAAACUGCUUGGCGAGGUAAUCCCCUUCGGUCCCUGCGUUGUUGCAAGUUUUAACAAAGUGGGCAACGUGCUGUUUUGGGUUUCCCUUUCCAUCGAAUUGCAUGAACUUUGGCGGUUGAUAACCCAUCGGCAUCCUUAAGGCAUCAAUCUUCUUUGAAUACGCCUUCGAGUACAACUCGGAGGUAUUUAAGCUCCCUUCGUAUUGUGCCUUGAUGAUGUUGGUGAUCAUCUCCUGCAGCUGCUGGAUAGAAAGAGAUCCCAUGAGUGUCGCUGCUUGGUCUGGCUCCGGCUUCACAUCGUUUUUCUCCACCUGAGGCUCAUCUUCUUCGUCAUCUCUUCUCUUUAGUGGAUCAUUCUCUGGGUCAGGGUUCUCGUCAUCCUGUGGCUCCAGUCGGCUGACGAGUGCAGCGAUUUGCAAGUCUUUUUCUUCAACAAUCCGUGUUAGCCUUGCGAUUGCUUCAUUCAUUUGAGCCAGCUGCUCAUCGAUUGAAGUUGCUCCAAUGGUCAUGACUUGCAUGGCUGAACUGCCGCUUGAAUCGGCAUCGGAGAGCAUGGAUUCAGAGUAUUUCCUUGGGCUUUCCCCCCUUGGUGCCUUUAGUGAGGCUAAGGUGAUCAAAGGCUUGUGCCUUGGGUGCUCUUGUUCCCUUGGCAGAGUUGAUGCAGAGGUGAAAGAGGCGACAGAAGUAGCUCUUGCCUUGCUUCGAGUCGUGAUGCCUAAAGUGACACCACCUGCGAUGAGAACGCUCUUGUUCUUUGCGCCAGUUGCGGGAAUAGUUUGAGCCUUCCUUGAAGCCAUUAAUUUUGGAAGUGUGCUCGAAUUUCUUGAACGGAGAAAGAGAUGAGAGGUAGAGAUUGUCCCACUGGGAGUGCCAAUUUGUGAACACGGAAAAUUCCUGAAACGAAAGAGACAAGAACAACGUGCACAAACAAAUAUUUGUAUUUGAUGAUUUUGGGUUACAAUCUCUCUUUAUUUUGAUCCUCUGAUUCGAUCUCCGUAAGGUGUGUAUUUGUGGAUGUGUGAUUGAUCCAAAGGGCCGUUGGGCUUGAUCUAAGGAUGAACGUUCUUCAAGGGCCGUGGACUUGAUCUUGAAGGUGGAUUUGAGCGAUCUUCAAGGGGCUUUGGGCUUUGAUCUUUGAAGAACAUGAUGAAUGGAUCUCCAAGGCUUUUGGGCUUGAUCUUGAAGAACAGUGAUGAACGGAUCUUCAAGGGCUUUUUGGGCUUGAUCUUGAAGAACGGUUUGGAUGUGUGGAUUGUCGACAUUGUUGAUCCAAAGGGCCGUUGGGGCUUGAUCUUGGAUGAACGGAUGAUGAACAAUGGUGCUUUCUUCAAGGGUUCGUCGGGGCUUGAAACUUGAAUUGGUGGGGAUGGUUGAUCCAAGGGCCGUCGGGGCUUGAUCUUGGAAGAACGAUGAACGAAGAACGAAGAACACUUUCUUUCAAAGGCCGUCAGGGCUUGAUCUUGAAUUGGUGAUGAUUGUUGAUCCAAAGGGCGUUGGGGCUGAUCUUGGAAGAAACGAUGAACGAAGAACACUUUCUUCAAGGGCCGUCGGGGCUUGAUCUUGGAAGAACGAUGAACGAAGAAACGAAGAAGGCUUUCUUGAUUCUUCGGGAAACCUGGAUGCUUGAGAGCUUCGGAGUUUCAGAGCUUCAGAGCUUCAAGGUGUAAUAUGAAUUGGUUCUUUCAAAUGAAUGAAUUAGCCUUCUAUUUAUAGAAAUUUCCAAGGCCUAAUUUUGAAUAUAAUAUUCCAGAUGAAAUAAGUCGUUUUCUGCCAGGUGUUGACACGUGUCCUGUUUGAUGACUUUUCCAACUUAUUUAGAUUUUUUGUUUAGACACACACUACGUGUAAAAUUUAUGUAAUACAUGAGCGUUGAAACUUUGAUUUAUCGGUCAACAUUUAUUUACCGAAAUUUCGAUGUCUACAAUGAGUUGUACCUAGAACGGUACAAGACGAUAUCAGUGCAAGCCCAGGAUCAGAACCAUGGCAACUGUCAAGUGAGUCCUUAAGUAUUUAAGAAAUACUAAAGGAUAGAUUCCUCAAAGAUCGAGGAAGAAUUAGAGUAACGUAAAGGAAGCGUAAAUGUAUUAGAUUAUGAAUCUAAUCCAUCAUUGGAUGUUUCUUCAUUAUGAAUGAAGAGAUAAUCAGAUAUCUCUUUAUUAUGACUAAAGAGAUAUUUGGAUGGAAACAUUAAAAGUAAUGACUUUAGUGUGUUCCAUUAUGAAUGCAAAAUAUAUUGCCAUAUAGAAGCUUACAACAAUGUUGUUUGGAUGGGAAAGUUCAUUUAUGAACUCUCUAUUCGGUUCCAACCAGAAAGUGUAUCUAGUGUACUGACACUAUGACACUAAAUGGGCGAUAGCUCAAGCCAGGGAAUCAAGGUCUCAUCAAGGUCCGAACUCAUAUGAGAGACUGAACCACAUGAUUGAGAAUCAUGUAUAAUGGUGACGUCGUUAUCUCAAAGGUUGCUUCUAUGGAUAACAUAUAGAUAUCCAUUGUCCUAGGCCUACUAUUCAGCCAUUUAUGAAAUGACUACAGAAGAGGUAUCAUCACUGAUGACCAAGCUGAUUGGCUCUAGUGCAAGUGGGAGAUUGUUGGAAAAAUGUGCCCUAAAACCAAUCAUAUGAUGAUACUUUACGGACAUUUCACAUGUUAAACUAAUCUAGUUUAAUAUAAAAGGGCAAAGAUUAUUGUUUGAGCCGUCUCAUAUAAAUGUUAUAUGCUUAAACGAUAAAGUCCAAGGAAUAUGUGAUUGGGGAGAAUGCGAUCUAAAAGAAGUUAGAUUCAUGAGACCAUUCUUUCGUAGACACAUCCUAAACGUUCCUGAUCAUAGGAUUGCCAAUUGGGCAUUGACAGUCCGUUAAGAUCAGUACGUGUUGUGUGUCUUCUCUCAGGGAGAGUGACUAGUCUCGAGUCAUUGGUGUGUGUGACAUCAAGACAAGUACGUAGGUGCUCAAUAGAGAAUGAGUUCACUGAACACGAUCAACGAAGAGUUCUCAUAUUCAUGUCACAUGAGAACUCAUGGUUGGGAUAAUGCAAAGUAGUCCUUUGACCUGAGGCAUCACAGUUGUCUUGUGGUUAAGUCCUUGAUCUUUGAUUAUGUCAAAGUCACCCCAUCGGGGUGUCCACGGCAUCGUUGGGGUUAAGCCACUUAGCCAUGGAGGCAAGUGAAUGCGCAACAAGGGAUCUCUAACCUUCAAACCGUUUGAGGGAGAAUACUCUAUGAUAUGAUUUAGAAUCUCUGGCCAGAGUAUGAAUGAGAUUUAGAAAAGUCGUUCCAAAUCACAUUCAAGGUAAUCAUAUAAGCACACGAAUCACAUUGGAUAGUAGACAUGAAUAAACUAAACUAUCAAACCAAACAAUGUGGUCAAGAGUAUUGUAUUAGAGAAAGACCGUAUUGCAUUUGUAAUCCUAAACUGAAUAGGUUCUCCACCUCUUCUGAUUAGCUUGGGUAACCAUGAUAUGCUGCUAGGUGUCACUCAUGGUUUGUGGAAGCCCUAAACGUGUGUAAUCACUAAAGGGAGAAUUGAAAGUAAGUUUCAAUUCACAAUCGAUUUAAAAAUGGUUUUAAUCGCCCACUGCCUCGCUAAAAGGAACCUAAUGGAUCGUACACCGUGUAAGGUGGAGAUUGAAGAAACAAUGGAGAUGAGUAAGAAUAAUUAAAUGGUUUAAUUAAUUUAUUUAUGGCAAGGAUUAAUUAAUAUGUUAAUUAAUCAAACGAAUAAGUUCGUUAAAGACCUCGGGAUAGUUUUGGACCUUAAGGCCCAAUGGGCUUCGAACGUCAAGCCCAUUGACUUAAGUUGUAUGACAACUUAAUGAAAUAAUGAUUCACAAAGGCCCAAUUAGCCCAAAAAUACCCCAAGGCCGGCCAUGAUGUUUUGGAGUGGGUUUUGGACUUAUUUACAAGUUUGCCACUCCAAUGAAUUAAGGUAUAAAUAUGACUUUAUAGCCAAAAUUCAUUUAGGGUUUUCUUUUGGAGAAAAUUGGUGAGAACAUUGUCUCUCCUUUUCUCUCUAAAGAGGCCGGCCCCUUGGAGGGGUUUUAGCUAGCAAUCUACUACUACUCCAAGGUCACUCAUUUCUUCUCCAAUCUAACCUUGGUGAAGAGACUUAGAGGUUCUCA
rnacentral:lncRNA from 1 species